UGAAACAUUGAGUAAAACAAGAAGAAAGGAACAAUGUUGAAUUUGAGAUAUUUCAUGUUGUUGCUAUUUGGGCUUAUCAUUUCAGAGCACUUAUUUGUGGGUGGAAAAUCGGAUGUAUCAAACAAAGGCGCCAAAAUUGAGCGUGGAAAUGAAGCAAAUCCCGCGAAAACACCCAUAAAAUUGAAAGAAAAAAUCGCAUAUCAAUUGAAGAACAACCAAUCAAAGACGGCAUAAAGUUUUUUGAAGAGUUGGUAAAAUCUUCUGCUCUUCCAACGAAACCACGAGCAUUGCAAAACAGGAAACAAUUUGAUCAGAAUAUUAUCGUUGUGACAGCAUCCACCAUCCUCCUCGAUGUACCAGAUAUUACAAGGAAGAUCAUUCUUACCCUGGGUUCCAGCCUUUAAAGGCCAUCAGUUGCCCAGUGUGUGGAAAAGUUAAUCUUCCUUACCGAUCUAUUGGCAGACAAUAGCAAAUGGAAUGGUUCAUAGUAGAGCAGAAACAUAUGCAAUGACAUC